rnacentral:rRNA from 1 species
UACGUAGGGGGCAAGCGUUGUCCGGAUUUAUUGGGCGUAAAGAGCGUGUAGGCGGCCUGAAAGGUCAGCUGUGAAAACUCGAGGCUCAACCUCGAGACGCCGAUGGAAACCAUCUGGCUAGAGUCCGGAAGAGGAGAGUGGAAUUCCCGGUGUAGCGGUGAAAUGCGCAGAUAUCGGGAAGAACACCCGUGGCUAAGGCGGCUCUCUAGUACGGUACUGACGCUGAGACGCGAAAGCGUGGGGAGCGAACAGG